UUAAAAUGGUGUUUAAAAUAACAAUAUACAUUAUUUAAAUUCACUAUUUAACCAUAACUAGGAGAAUCUCAUUGAGAUAAUAAUAAAAAAGGUUAGUCCCAGCCAAGAGGCAGCAAAUAAAACGGCAUGAAAAAGUUCAGAUAUGAUACACCUAUUUUUUCUAGUGAUGUCUUAUACUAUACUAUCAAAGAAGGCCCCCUUUACCUUCCUUAAUGUAUCUCUUUUUGGAGUAACCUUGAUGAUAAAGCACAGAAUAGACCCAUUCCGUAUGUGCUCGGAGAACGUUGCAGAGCUGCUUGAGUGCUGAAGGAUCGGUUAGGCGCUGUCUGCUGCGUAUUUAAGCCUUUGACAUAUGGCCGACAUGUUUUAAGGAAUCUUUUCAACUCCCUCACUAUCUCCUCUACUCUCCCAGGGCCACUUACUGCACCUCAGUGCUGUGUUGUGGACGGCCUGGCCUUCCUUAAGUAAGGUUGAACUGUGAGACAUCAAAGCCCCACCCUCCCAGAGUGCACCAGAUGUCCCGCGGUCAUUUUUACACUCACACCCCAGCACAUGACACGGAGCGGCGAGGAGGCCUGUGGACAGAGCUGGAUGGACUGCUUGGAAAUUGGAAGAGGAAGCCAGUAUUUAUGAGGUGGUUUGAGGGGCUGUGUUAAGACGGCCUUAGCCUGCCACUCUCCCUCUGACAGGCCCACUUCCCCUGAGCCCACUGCAGCAGACACACAGAGAAAUGUACACACCGACAGAAAUGGGGAAUGACACAGAGAACAUGGAGAAAAUUCCUCUGAUCGUGGACUCGAACUUGGGUCACUCCAGUUUAUGUGGAGCAGUGUGGUCUUCUGCACUUUAACUAGCCCCCACCACCACAUGCAUGUAGCCCCAUACCUCUGUGAAGGUAAAAUGAGUGAUGUCUCAGAGCAGGCAUCUCCUCCUCUCCUCCACAGCAACCCAUGUGAGUCGGAUUAUUAUAAUUGAGUAAGGAUGGAGCAGGGUGUGAGCUGAUCUCUCUCUCUUCUCUCCCAGGUAUUUUGGUCAAAGUUUUUGAAUAACCACUAGCAAGCAUGUUUCUUUCUCCUAUGG